AAGAACCAGUAAAGGGAGAGAUUUAAAAUAACAAGCAAUAAUGAGUCUCAUGAGGUAUAAAUGUUUCCCUAUGAGAUGCAUUUAUUUAUCUGUUCCACAGAAUUCAUAAAAACACAGAGGAACAAGGAGACAAAAUGGACCGACAGUGUCCAUUGGAAAAAAAAAACCCACUUCAUUCAACAAGUGAUUUUACUGCAGUGCCCCUGUGAAUAAGAAGUUCCCAAACCCUGGAAGAAACAAUUAUCUUUGAAUUCCAUCUUGUUUAAAAUCUGAUAAGGCCAGUGCCUCUGGGAACAAAUGGCCAGUCUCUCAUACCCCACGUUCACCUCCAAUGUCAAGAGAUGUUAGCCAGCAAACAGAAGGGCCAGGGGACGCUGAGCCAAACACCUCAGCCUUUCCCUCUGCAAUGACACCCUUCCGCCAAGCACACCCCCAAACAUCUUGGAGAGUAGCCAGUGGAAUAAAUGGAAGCAAAACAGAAAAGGACCACAAAAUUAAUUGAUAUAUACAUAGAAACUAUCCCUGUGCAUUCCAUGUGAGGCCUGUAGGAACACGAACAAAAGAGGAAGAAAGAAAGUCAAAAAGGAGUCAUGCUCAAAUCACUUGACCUCAGCAUUCUGGUGACAGAGGUGUCCGUUGAGGUGCCACACAGGAUAGAGAGCAGAGAUGAGUCACUGCAAUGGGUAUUCUUAUUUAAUGAUAAAGAAAAAAUGCAGGUAAAUAAAACUAAUAUAGAAGCAGCUACCUUAGCAGACAUUUAGCCACAGAUGAAGUAUGUAGAGCGUAUGUGUGUUGAGCCUCGAUGGAUUUGUUAAAUAUUCUCCCUUUUGUAUUG